ACAACAUUCGGAGCGCCGGUCUGCCAAGAAAUAUCACCCACUCGAUGGAACAUGUUCCCUUUGUCGU
rnacentral:pre_miRNA from 1 species